rnacentral:rRNA from 1 species
ACACAUGCAAGUCGAACGAUGAAGCUGUGCUUGCACAGUGGAUUAGUGGCGAACGGGUGAGUAACACGUGAGUAACCUGCCCUCCACUUUGGGAUAACUCCGAGAAAUCGGGGCUAAUACUGGAUAUGACCUUGGCCCGCAUGGGUUGUGGUGGAAAGUUUUUCGGUGGGGGAUGGGCUCGCGGCCUAUCAGUUUGUUGGUGAGGUAGUGGCUCACCAAGGCGAUGACGGGUAGCCGGCCUGAGAGGGCGACCGGCCACACUGGGACUGAGACACGGCCCAGACUCCUACGGGAGGCAGCAGUGGGGAAUAUUGCACAAUGGGCGAAAGCCUGAUGCAGCGACGCCGCGUGGGGGAUGACGGCCUUCGGGUUGUAAACCUCUUUCAGCAAGGAAGAAGCGAAAGUGACGGUACUUGCAGAAGAAGCGCCGGCUAACUACGUGCCAGCAGCCGCGGUAAUACGUAGGGCGCAAGCGUUGUCCGGAAUUAUUGGGCGUAAAGGGCUUGUAGGUGGCUUGUCGCGUCUGCCGUGAAAACUCGAGGCUUAACCUUGGGCGUGCGGUGGGUACGGGCAGGCUAGAGUGCGGUAGGGGAGACUGGAAUUCCUGGUGUAGCGGUGAAAUGCGCAGAUAUCAGGAGGAACACCGAUGGCGAAGGCAGGUCUCUGGGCCGUUACUGACACUGAGAAG